GACGAACGCUGGCGGCGUGCUUAACACAUGCAAGUCGAACGGUAAGGCCCUUCGGGGUACACGAGUGGCGAACGGGUGAGUAACACGUGGGUGAUCUGCCCUGCACUUCGGGAUAAGCCUGGGAAACUGGGUCUAAUACCGGAUAGGACCACUGCCUGCAUGGGUGGUGGUGGAAAGCUUUUGCGGUGUGGGAUGGGCCCGCGGCCUAUCAGCUUGUUGGUGGGGUGAUGGCCUACCAAGGCGACGACGGGUAGCCGGCCUGAGAGGGUGACCGGACACACUGGGACUGAGAUACGGCCCAGACUCCUACGGGAGGCAGCAGUGGGGAAUAUUGCACAAUGGGCGCAAGCCUGAUGCAGCGACGCCGCGUGAGGGAUGACGGCCUUCGGGUUGUAAACCUCUUUCAGCACCGACGAAGCGCAGGUGACGGUAGGUGCAGAAGAAGGACCGGCCAACUACGUGCCAGCAGCCGCCGUAAGAC
rnacentral:rRNA from 1 species